rnacentral:tRNA from 1 species
UCCCUGGAAGACUAGUGGUUAGGCCUUGGCGCUCUCACUGCCGCAGCCCGGGUUCGAUUCCUGGCCAGGGAA